rnacentral:rRNA from 1 species
AGAGUUUGAUCCUGGCUCAGGAUGAACGCUAGCGGCAGGCUUAACACAUGCAAGUCGAGGGGCAUCGGGAGGGAAGCUUGCUUCCUUGCCGGCGACCGGCGCACGGGUGAGUAACACGUAUGCAACCUGCCCUCUUCAGGGGGACAACCUUCCGAAAGGGAGGCUAAUCCCGCGUAUAUCGGUUUCGGGCAUCCGAGAUCGAGGAAAGAUUCAUCGGAAGAGGAUGGGCAUGCGGCGCAUUAGCUUGACGGCGGGGUAACGGCCCACCGUGGCGACGAUGCGUAGGGGUUCUGAGAGGAAGGUCCCCCACACUGGUACCGAGACACGGACCAGACUCCUACGGGAGGCAGCAGUGAGGAAUAUUGGUCAAUGGGAGAGAUCCUGAACCAGCCAAGCCGCGUGAGGGAAGACGGCCCUAUGGGUUGUAAACCUCUUUUGUCGGAGAACAAAACCCGGGACGUGUCCCGGACUGCGUGUAUCCGAAGAAAAAGCAUCGGCUAACUCCGUG